rnacentral:rRNA from 1 species
UACGGAGGGUGCGAGCGUUGUCCGGAAUCACUGGGCGUAAAGGGCGCGCAGGCGGCCCUUGAAGUCAGGCGUGAAAGCCCCGGGCUCAACCUGGGAGGUGCGCUUGAUACUCGAGGGCUUGAGUGCGGGAGAGGAGAGUGGAAUUCCCAGUGUAGAGGUGAAAUUCGUAGAUAUUGGGAAGAACACCGGUGGCGAAGGCGGCUCUCUGGACCGUAACUGACGCUGAGGCGCGAAAGCGUGGGGAGCAAACAGG